rnacentral:misc_RNA from 1 species
UAACUCUAUCAAUAAUCUCAAAAGACCCUAUGUAUCGGGGUGCUAGUUUGCCCUUUUUCCCGAAUCUCAUAACUCCCUUCAUUGGAGAGACCUUUAAGAAUAUAUAAUCAUCCACUGCAAACUCCACAUCCCUUCGCCUAGGAUCUGUAUAACUUUUCUGCCUGCUAAAUGCAAUUUUUAAACGUUCUCUGAUCUUAGGAACCAUCUCUGAAGUGUAUUGCACCAGAUAUAGGUCAUGCACCUUUGUCUCACCCACUUAUGUCCAGCACAAUGGUGAUUUACACCUUCUGCCAUACAGUACCUCAUAGGAUGCCAUCCCGAUACUAGAAUAAUAGCUAUUAUUAUAGGCAAACUCCACCAAAGGUAGCUGAUCAUCUCAUUGACCUUCAAAAUCCAGGACACACAUCCGGAGCAUGUCUUCCAAGGUCUGAAUUGUCCUUUCGGAUUAUCCAUCUGUCUGAGGGUGAAAGGCGAUACUAAAGUUUAACUAUGUGCCAAGUGCCUUCUGUAGCUUUCUCCAAAAUCGAGAAGUGAACUAGGGCCCCUUGUCAAAUAUUAUGGAAACAGGAACUCCAUGUAAUCUAACUAUCUCACUAAUAUACAGCUUGGCAUACUGGGCAACAGAGUAAGUGGUUCGCAUGGGUAAAAAAUGAGUUGACUUGGUCAAAUGAUUCACUAUCACCCAUAUCGAAUCAUAUCCACAUGUGGUACGAGACAACCCAGUUACAAAAUCCAUUGUGAUCAUUUCCCACUUCCAUUCCGGAAUAGGAAACUCUUACAGCUUCCCUGACGGCCUUUGAUGUUCAAAUUUCAUCUUUUGACAAGUUCAGCACUUGGACACAAAGUUUGCUAUGUCUCUCUUCAUGCCAUU